rnacentral:rRNA from 1 species
GGACUACCGGGGUUUCUAAUCCCGUUCGCUACCCUGGCUUUCGUGUGUGAGCGUCAGAUUUGGACCAGUGCGCUGCCUUCGCCUUUGGUGUUCCCCACGAUAUCAACGGAUUUCACCCCUACACCGUGAGUUCCACGCACCUCUUCCAACCUCUAGCUAUGCCGUUUCUCUCGCAGACCGUAGGUUGAGCCCACGGAUUUUACGAAAGACUAACAUUGCCGCCUUGACACCCUUUACGCCCAAUGAUUCCGGAUAAUGCUUGGGGCCUCUGUAUUACCGCGGCUGCUGGCAC